AAGAUCAGUGGAGGUCAGAGGUCACACCAGGGCCAGAUGAGGGCUAGUUUCCCAGAAGGGAUGACAAACAUUCCCAGGCUUUCAGCUCACAUUUGAAUUGUACACACCACCUUUGCAUUAGUCUUUUGAGCAAUAAAAGAGGGAAGCCCCCAAAGCAGACACUUGAAGUCACACCCAUGAAGAGGAACCACUGGCUGAGACCUAUUCCAAUUGGGACUUCCCAGCUUGUGAGCCCAGAUGUAGGUGUUCCCCGGAUUUGAUCCCCAAGUCCUCCAGCUCCAUGUCACUGCGGAAAGCACAGAGGGACCUGCCACCUCGGCCAAGGUUCAAGCACCAACCAGAUCCUGAUUUGAAUAAACCAACUGUAAAAAGACACUUCUGAGUCACUUGGAGAAAUUUCAAUAUGGACUGGGUGUGGAAGGACUCCAAAGUAUUACUGUUGUUGUACAUUUUGCUGGAUGUGAUGAUAAUGGCAUUGAAGCUAUGUGAAAAAUGUCCAUUUCCUCUUUUAUUUAUUUAUUUUUGUAGAGACAGAAUCUUAUUUUGU